UUAAGCGACUAAGCGUACACGGUGGAUGCCCUGGCAGUCAGAGGCGAUGAAGGACGUGCUAAUCUGCGAAAAGCGUCGGUAAGGUGAUAUGAAACGUUAUAACCGGCGAUGUCCGAAUGGGGAAACCCAGUGCAAUUCGUUGCACUAUCGUUAACUGAAUACAUAGGUUAACGAGGCGAACCGGGGGAACUGAAACAUCUAAGUACCCCGAGGAAAAGAAAUCAACCGAGAUUCCCCCAGUAGCGGCGAGCGAACGGGGAGCAGCCCAGAGUCUGAAUCAGCUUGUGUGUUAGUGGAACGGUCUGGAAAGUCCGACGGUACAGGGUGAUAGUCCCGUACACCAAAAUGCACAGGUUGUGAACUCGAAGAGUAGGGCGGGACACGUGGUAUCCUGUCUGAAUAUGGGGGGACCAUCCUCCAAGGCUAAAUACUCCUGACUGACCGAUAGUGAACCAGUACCGUGAGGGAAAGGCGAAAAGAACCCCGGCGAGGGGAGUGAAAAAGAACCUGAAACCGUGUACGUACAAGCAGUGGGAGCACCUUCGGGUGUGACUGCGUACCUUUUGUAUAAUGGGUCAGCGACUUAUAUUCUGUAGCAAGGUUAACCGUAUAGGGGAGCCGCAGGGAAACCGAGUCUUAACUGGGCGUUAAGUUGCAGGGUAUAGACCCGAAACCCGGUGAUCUAGCCAUGGGCAGGUUGAAGGUUGGGUAACACUAACUGGAGGACCGAACCGACUAAUGUUGAAAAAUUAGCGGAUGACUUGUGGCUGGGGGUGAAAGGCCAAUCAAACCGGGAGAUAGCUGGUUCUCCCCGAAAGCUAUUUAGGUAGCGCCUCGUGAACUCAUCUUCGGGGGUAGAGCACUGUUUCGGCUAGGGGGUCAUCCCGACUUACCAACCCGAUGCAAACUACGAAUACCGAAGAAUGUUAUCACGGGAGACACACGGCGGGUGCUAACGUCCGUCGUGAAGAGGGAAACAACCCAGACCGCCAGCUAAGGUCCCAAAGUCAUGGUUAAGUGGGAAACGAUGUGGGAAGGCACAGACAGCCAGGAUGUUGGCUUAGAAGCAGCCAUCAUUUAAAGAAAGCGUAAUAGCUCACUGGUCGAGUCGGCCUGCGCGGAAGAUGUAACGGGGCUAAACCAUGCACCGAAGCUGCGGCAGCGACACUAUGUGUUGUUGGGUAGGGGAGCGUUCUGUAAGCCUGCGAAGGUGACCUGUGAGGGUUGCUGGAGGUAUCAGAAGUGCGAAUGCUGACAUAAGUAACGAUAAAGCGGGUGAAAAGCCCGCUCGCCGGAAGACCAAGGGUUCCUGUCCAACGUUAAUCGGGGCAGGGUGAGUCGACCCCUAAGGCGAGGCCGAAAGGCGUAGUCGAUGGGAAACAGGUUAAUAUUCCUGUACUUGGUGUUACUGCGAAGGGGGGACGGAGAAGGCUAUGUUAGCCGGGCGACGGUUGUCCCGGUUUAAGCAUGUAGGCUGGUUAUCCAGGCAAAUCCGGAUAAUCAAGGCUGAGGUGUGAUGACGAGGCACUACGGUGCUGAAGUAACAAAUGCCCUGCUUCCAGGAAAAGCCUCUAAGCAUCAGGUAACAUCAAAUCGUACCCCAAACCGACACAGGUGGUCAGGUAGAGAAUACCAAGGCGCUUGAGAGAACUCGGGUGAAGGAACUAGGCAAAAUGGUGCCGUAACUUCGGGAGAAGGCACGCUGGUGUGUAGGUGAAGUCCCUGCGGAUGGAGCUGAGACCAGUCGAAGAUACCAGCUGGCUGCAACUGUUUAUUAAAAACACAGCACUGUGCAAACACGAAAGUGGACGUAUACGGUGUGACGCCUGCCCGGUGCCGGAAGGUUAAUUGAUGGGGUUAUCCGUAAGGAGAAGCUCUUGAUCGAAGCCCCGGUAAACGGCGGCCGUAACUAUAACGGUCCUAAGGUAGCGAAAUUCCUUGUCGGGUAAGUUCCGACCUGCACGAAUGGCGUAAUGAUGGCCAGGCUGUCUCCACCCGAGACUCAGUGAAAUUGAACUCGCUGUGAAGAUGCAGUGUACCCGCGGCAAGACGGAAAGACCCCGUGAACCUUUACUAUAGCUUGACACUGAACAUUGAGCCUUGAUGUGUAGGAUAGGUGGGAGGCUUUGAAGCGUGGACGCCAGUCUGCGUGGAGCCAACCUUGAAAUACCACCCUUUAAUGUUUGAUGUUCUAACGUUGGCCCCUUACCGGGGUUGCGGACAGUGUCUGGUGGGUAGUUUGACUGGGGCGGUCUCCUCCCAAAGCGUAACGGAGGAGCACGAAGGUUAGCUAAUCCUGGUCGGACAUCAGGAGGUUAGUGCAAUGGCAUAAGCUAGCUUGACUGCGAGCGUGACGGCGCGAGCAGGUGCGAAAGCAGGUCAUAGUGAUCCGGUGGUUCUGAAUGGAAGGGCCAUCGCUCAACGGAUAAAAGGUACUCCGGGGAUAACAGGCUGAUACCGCCCAAGAGUUCAUAUCGACGGCGGUGUUUGGCACCUCGAUGUCGGCUCAUCACAUCCUGGGGCUGAAGUAGGUCCCAAGGGUAUGGCUGUUCGCCAUUUAAAGUGGUACGCGAGCUGGGUUUAGAACGUCGUGAGACAGUUCGGUCCCUAUCUGCCGUGGGCGCUGGAGAAUUGAGGGGGGCUGCUCCUAGUACGAGAGGACCGGAGUGGACGCAUCACUGGUGUUCGGGUUGUCAUGCCAAUGGCACUGCCCGGUAGCUAAAUGCGGAAGAGAUAAGUGCUGAAAGCAUCUAAGCACGAAACUUGCCCCGAGAUGAGUUCUCCCUGAGACUAUAAGUCUCCUGAAGGAACGUUAAAGACGAUGACGUUGAUAGGCCGGGUGUGUAAGCGCAGCGAUGCGUUGAGCUAACCGGUACUAAUGAACCGUGAGGCUUAACCUU
rnacentral:rRNA from 1 species